rnacentral:rRNA from 1 species
CCUACGGGCGGCAGCAGUGAGGCAUAUUGGUCAAUGGGCGUAAGCCUGAACCAGCCAAGUCGCGUGAGGGAUGAAGGUUCUAUGGAUCGUAAACCUCUUUUAUAAGGGAAUAAAGUGUGGGACGUGUCCUGUUUUGUAUGUACCUUAUGAAUAAGGAUCGGCUAACUCCGUGCCAGCAGCCGCGGUAAUACGGAGGAUCCGAGCGUUAUCCGGAUUUAUUGGGUUUAAAGGGUGCGUAGGCGGCCGUUUAAGUCAGCGGUGAAAGUCUGUGGCUCAACCAUAGACUUGCCGUUGAAACUGGGAGGCUUGAGUAUGUUUGAGGCAGGCGGAAUGCGUGGUGUAGCGGUGAAAUGCUUAGAUAUCACGCAGAACCCCGAUUGCGAAGGCAGCCUGCCAAGCCAUGACUGACGCUGAUGCACGAAAGCGUGGGGAUCAAACAGGAUUAGAUACCCCAGUAGUC